AGGGCAAAUCUUCAAAAUAGCACCUUUCUAAGUUUAUAUCACAAAAAUAGUACUCAAAAAUUAAAAUGACCAAAAUAGCAUUUUAUCUUUUGAAAAAUUUAAAUUUUUUUAUUUUUCAAAAUUUGAAAUCUUAUCCCCAAAACCUCAUUUCUUAACUCUAAACCCUAAAACCUAAACUCUAAACCCUAAACCCUAAAUUCUAAACCCUAAACCCACCCCU
rnacentral:lncRNA from 1 species